rnacentral:rRNA from 1 species
AUUGAACGCUGGCGGCAGGCCUAACACAUGCAAGUCGAGCGGAUGAAGGGAGCUUGCUCCUGGAUUCAGCGGCGGACGGGUGAGUAAUGCCUAGGAAUCUGCCUGGUAGUGGGGGAUAACGUCCGGAAACGGGCGCUAAUACCGCAUACGUCCUGAGGGAGAAAGUGGGGGAUCUUCGGACCUCACGCUAUCAGAUGAGCCUAGGUCGGAUUAGCUAGUUGGUGGGGUAAAGGCCUACCAAGGCGACGAUCCGUAACUGGUCUGAGAGGAUGAUCAGUCACACUGGAACUGAGACACGGUACAGACUCCUACGGGAGGCAGCAGUGGGGAAUAUUGGACAAUGGGCGAAAGACUGAUACAGCCAUGCCGCGUGUGUGAAGAAGGUCUUCGGAUUGUAAAGCACUUUAAGUUGGGAGGAAGGGAAGUAAGUUAAUACCUUGCUGUUUUGACGUUACCAACAGAAUAAGCACCGGCUAACUUCGUG